AUUAAUUCUUUAGAAAGAGGAAGAAAAACUGCGCCAAACUUCCCGCCCCAAACCAAAAAGAACUCGCGAUCCAACCAGCAGUCGAAGUCACGUUACCAGUGCAACUUAUAGAGAGGAAGAAGGAAGUGAUGAAGACGGAGCUAUUUCACUUAAUGCUAUUAAGAAUAAAUAUAAAUCAGGAAGUGUUAUAAAUACAACACCGCAUAAAGGUGGUGCUAUUUAUUCAUCAGAUGAGGAAGGUUCAGAUUUUGAAGGAAAAAGGGGACGAAAAUUGGAUAGAUCGAAAGCAUUAAAAGACUCAGAAUCAAGUGAAGAUAGUGAUUAAAAAAAAUUGUAUUUUUUAAUUAAGAAUAAUACAAUUAAAAAGAUUUUUUUAUUAAAAAC